CAGUCAUCUUCAGAAAGUCAUCCCAUGAGUAUAUUAUGGGCCAAGGAAGAGGAUAUACGCAACAGGAGGCUGCCUUUUCUCAGGGUCUGCCAAGUUCUCAGCUGCCCAUCUGGGAAUAAAUAGCCUCUGGAGGAGCCCAGGAUCAGCAGAGGAGAAUUCAGAAAUGCUGAGUCAAGGCCUGAAGCAGUGAUGGAGCACCUGGUGGGAAGGCAGGGCCAGCCCAGGGCAGCUCAGGUGUAAGCAAUGUGUCUGAGUGAUGGAAGGGCUGCAGCCAGGAUCCACCCCUUAUUUAAGGGCUGGCAGUGGAAGUGAGGGGGUCUUGCUGGAGAUCUCUGCGUAUCUGUGGCCUAUCUGAAGGCCAUGGAGCUCUGGCUCAAAGCUUACUCGCUUCUAUUUCUUGGAGAAGAAGUUCAGGUGAAUUUGAAGUUUGUCCAGUUUAAUGGCCUGCGUCUGCAGGUGAGGUGAAGAUCAAGUCUGCUUAGGUAAGCUGAAAGAGUUUUCACCAGCCCCCACUGCUGAUUUGUUCUUAUCAUAUUUCUCUAUCCCUCCCCCCAGCCCCUUUCUUUCUCAUCCUUAAAUUUUGUCCCUCUAACUGUAACUCCCAUUUUAUUUCCCAUCUGCCUCCUUUGUUCUGUCCAGCAGAACACACGGCUGCUCUGCACAAGUGUACAUCCCAUUCACUGCAGCAUCCAAGCAUUCAGCCAUAGCACACUGUGUUCAUCUGAGCGCUGCCAGCUGAGACACAGCUAUGCAGGCAGCUGGCAAAUAAACCAUCUGAACAUGCAUGCAUACUGCUAGCAGUGCAUGCACUUCCUUUUAUGACACAGAACACAGCUUCUAGUUGCUGCACAGCCCACCACGCCAAAAGAAACAAAGUUUCUUGGGGUGAGGUCUCCUAUUAUGACCACUGUGGGUAAACAAACAAACUGUUCUGUGAAUAUACAGGCUCCAAAAGUGCCCUUCUGCUCUUAACAAUGAGUACCGGGUUGCACAGAGAGAAACACACCUUAACAGUUGAAGUGUAGUACACAAAUCUCGGUCUAAGCAGAGAAAAACCUUCCCAUGGGAUCUAGCAAACUGAAGUCUGGUUUCAAGUUAAUGUGUCAGGUUUGUGGAAAAAAACAGGGAGUUGUUAGAGAGCAAGAAAGACAGCAGCUGCAAAUAGGUUUGAUUUAUUGCUACUUAAAAAUGUACACUAGAAAAUGCACAUCUGAAUAAAAUAAGCUAUUAAUUCAA